rnacentral:rRNA from 1 species
GACGAACGCUGGCGGCGUGCCUAAUACAUGCAAGUAGAACGCUGAAGGAGGAGCUUGCUCUUCUGGAUGAGUUGCGAACGGGUGAGUAACGCGUAGGUAACCUGCCUGGUAGCGGGGGAUAACUAUUGGAAACGAUAGCUAAUACCGCAUAACAGUAGAUGUUGCAUGACAUUUGCUUAAAAGGUGCAAUUGCAUCACUACCAGAUGGACCUGCGUUGUAUUAGCUAGUUGGUGGGGUAACGGCUCACCAAGGCGACGAUACAUAGCCGACCUGAGAGGGUGAUCGGCCACACUGGGACUGGGACACGGCCCAGACUCCUACGGGAGGCAGCAGUAGGGAAUCUUCGGCAAUGGACGGAAGUCUGACCGAGCAACGCCGCGUGAGUGAAGAAGGGUUUCGGAUCGUAAAGCUCUGUUGUAAGAGAAGAACGAGUGUGAGAGUGGAAAGUUCACACUGUGACGGUAUCUUACCAGAAAGGGACGGCUAACUACGUG